GAAGGGGGCUAGCGUUGCUCGGAAUUACUGGGUGUAAAGGGAGCGUAGGUGGCAGGGCAAGUCAGAUGUGAAAACCCGGGGCUCAACUCCGGGAUUGCAUUUGAAACUGUCCGGCUGGAGUGCAGGAGAGGUAAGUGGAAUUCCUAGUGUAGCGGUGAAAUGCAUAGAUAUUAGGAGGAACACCAGUGGCGAAGGCGGCUUACUGGACUGUAACUGACACUGAGGCUCGAAAGCGUGGGGAGCAAA
rnacentral:rRNA from 1 species